AAAUACACAAAAUAAUAAAAAAUAUAAAUAAUAACAACAAAAAAUAAAAACAAAUAAAGAAAAGAAAGAAAAGAGAAAAAAAAAGGUGGUGUUUAAUACAUUACAACCUGAAAAAUAAAGUGAGACUUACAUGUCAUUAAAGAUAGGAAAAUAGUUACAGAUAAAUUAUUUAAUUUUUUUUUCGUUCCGAAACAACUGAAUCAGUAAAAGGGUAUUGCUAAAAUAAUUGUAUAAAAACAACAAAGAGAUGUCUGGAGUCUAAAUAUUUCCAUCUUCUGUGGAUGUGAAAUUUAUCAAGAAGCAAAAUCAGAUUCACUGCAUAAAACUGUUUCCUUUUAGAUUGUUCAUACUCAAUAAAAGCCAAUACUACAUCCUUUCAAAACAGAACAGGCUACAUUCAUUAUAAAGUUACUCCUGAUAAAACUCAACACAUCUUGCCAGAAUUUCUUUGUAAAUGGACAGUUCCAAGAAACAUUUCAACAGAGUCAUCACAAAAAGAGCGACCAUAACCAUGGAAACAGUUUUCUCCUCUCUUACUGGCCAAUUCAACAACUCAGCCGACCAACCCAGCUUCCGCUCUGCUCGGUGUGAGCCAAUGGCGUGCGAGGCUCAAAUCCCAGCGAGCGCUGACGUCACUCGUCCGGAGUGCGGAGUAUGGCAGUGGAUUCAUGAGCUCCGACAGAAGAACACUUCUUCUCCACGAGCUUUGAUAUGGAAACAAUCUGGCUGGAUUAAACUAGUGCUCCGAGAGGUUGAGAAACACUCCUGUGUGUACGGAGUGACACAGCUUCCUCAGGUCCUGCCCAUGAAAGGUUAAGUGCUAUCUGAAGACUUUCCUCAGAAAGAGAGCGCGUGUUGUGUCUGAUGCAAACGGGAACAUUUAGAGCUGGGAUCCCUUCCAAAGCCUCUGGGUGUGUCAGACAAAGUUGAAUGUUUUCAGCUGGGCCUCCUUCAGUCUUUCUUUUCCUCGUUCUGUCCUGUGGAAAGGCUACCCUUCAUCUCGACCUCCACAUCCUCACCUCAGAAGAGUUCAUGGGAAUUUAAGACCUUUUGCUCAUAACUGGAUUUCUACUGAGAUUUGUGAUCAAACAAAUGACGGCGUUCAGGUACUUGCUCUUCCCAGACAUCGGUGCAUGUGUCUCCGAGGUUAAAGUUCCUCUGAAGCGUUGUUUCUUUGUGUUUGCUGCUGUAGUAAUGCUGCUUCUCUGCACAUGUGACCAUUCAGUAGAAAAGAAUAGGCCUAUAACGUUUUCUCCUCACUGCUGACUUUUUUAAAAUGUUUUAUUGAAGUUGGAAAAUGGAUUGACUUUGUGUGAGGAGAGCUGCAAGGCAAAAGCUGACUACAGAUAUUAUAAUGUUUCACUGUUCUCUGUCACAGUCAAUAUGUUGUUUGAGAGAAGCAUCCAAGCAUCGUGUGGGAAUGUUUUUGUGAAGGACCCAUUUAAAAAGUGUUGCAUUCAGAGGCGUAAAUGGCCUGGAUGUUUCAUGGUUGACUGAUAUGAAUUUUAUGACGGCUACCUAUAUUUGUAUAGCUAUUAUUCCAUUAGCUUAAAAAAAAAAACGUAAUACUUUAGAUAUCAUCUUAUUCUAUAUCAUUGCUAUUUUUCCACAAGUAAAGAAAUAGUCCUUUUUAAAAAAAAAGGAGGAUUGCAGGGUUUCGCACACAUUGAUUUAUUUGUGACGGCCGCCACAAUAUCAAAACUGAUCGACACACAUAGAUUUUACAAAAGGCACAUUUCAAAAUCAAAAACCGGUGCGAGUGUUUUUAUAUCACUGUAUUUCAUGAGGUAGCCGACUGUAUUUAGAAAAUGUUCAAUGUCAUUUUCAUUUCAUCUUGCAUGUAAUGUCUGAUAAAGCAGCAUUUGUGAGCUCAGCGCUGCUUUACAGCCAUUUCUGGAGAAACCUCUGUCUCUCUCCUGCUCUUAAAGCGCGCGCGCGUGUGUGUGUGUGUGUGUGUGUGUUAGGGCUGUGUGAUAUGGGGAAAAUAUCUAAUUGUGUUUUUUUUUGACCGAUAUUGCGAUUUGAUUUGCGAUUUUUAAAUUUGCAAAGUCAAGCUUCAGCUUAGUAUUGUCAAUAAUGUGCAGCACAGUAUGAGUAUCAUUACCCUGCUGAAAAAAAUUUGCUGUCAGCUUGCAAUGGUCCCGCGCCCCCCCUCCAGACGCAUGUAAACGUGUCUUUACAUUGACUUAACAUUGAAAUCAUUCGCCCCAGACGCUAUAUUCGUGUUUGUUGUGAACGCAGCAUAAGCGGUCGCUUUCGAUGUCACUGGGUCUUAUCGGCGUAAAAUUGCUGGUAUUUUCUGUCUAGUUUCACAAUGCAUACUGCUCUUUCAGAAUUCUUUAUUUUCAUUUUCUGCUUGGUUGUGAGUUUUGUUACAUCUAUAUUUUUUAAUUGUUUAAUUCUUUUAAAAUUAAUAGUGUACAUAUUUGGUUAAAAUCGAUUACCUAUUUUCAUUUUCGAAACUUUUUUUGGUUGGUCCGAUCAAUUGUGCAAUCGAUUUUCUAACUAAAAGUGACAGCCCUAGUACCAUUCCUGUUUUGAUUUCAGCCAAUCAGUUCGACCGAACGGAGACAAUGUGAUUAAUAUUCAUGAACCCAGCAGCUCAUCAAUCCAUAGUGCAUUGUAUAUUGCUAGAAUGUAGUAGAAUUAGUUUUAAUAAUAAUUAAUAUGAUCUAUUACUUUUUUUUUUUUUACAGAAACCCUGAAUGACCAACAAUAUCUUAAGCAUCACCAGCAGUCUUAAGUUCAGUUAAAAUGACAAAUAUGCAUUCAUACAUGGUUAUCAAGUUUUAGUUCUAAUCACUAAAGUACUAUCAUUAAAUAGUGCUUAAUGCCAUAAUAUAAUGCUUGACUGACUGAUUAAGAAGCUAAGAUUUAAAAAGCUGUGCCAUUUUACAAAGAUGUGUGUGUGUGUGUGUGUGUGUGUGUGUGUGUGUGUGUCUGUGUGUGUGUGUGUGUGUGUGUAAAAUAGUAGAGAUGUUCCAAUACCCUUUUUCUCUUCCCGAUACCGAUUCCGAUACCUGGGCUCAGGGUAUCAGCCGAUACAGAGUACUGAUCCGAUACCUGGGUGUGUAUCUGUAUGUUGUAUAUACUACUAGUCCGGUGUAAACUGCUAGAAUUAUUUUAUGGUGUGCUUCAGACUGAUCCCGUAAUAAAACAUGAACAAAUACAUGGUGAACUACUGCAUUCAUUACAGUAUUUUUAUUAUCUGACAUGAAUUUGAAAGUAUUAUUUAUUUUCUUAAGCGAAAAAGAACUUGAGAUCAAGCCAAAAAUCGAACACCGCAAACUAAAAAAGGUAUUUUAGUUUUACAAUACAACUGUAUAAAAAACUGCAAAACAUGGAACCGUCGAGGCAUAAUUAUUUUUGUUAAUAGAGAGGUAUUAUUAUUACUACAUAGAGACUAGCUAAAUCGACUGUAGGCUACAACAGUAGCGUAAUAUAU
ensembl:lncRNA